AAGGCGGCGGCGAGGCCGUCCAGCUCACCGCCAUUUUGCGCAGCGGGCGCUGAGCAGAAGCAGCCGCCGCGGCCGGAGCUCUCUUCUCAUCUCCGCCUCCUCCCUCCGCUACACCAUGUCGCGGGAUCGCUUCCGUAGCCGUGGCGGCGGUGGCGGCGGCUUUCACCGGCGUGGCGGCGGUGGAGGACGUGGCGGUCCCAACCAUGAUUUCCGCUCGCCGCCGCCCGGCAUGGGCAUGGGACAGAACCGCGGCCCGAUGGCGGGCGGCCCGCAAGGCCCGGGCGGUCCGCCGGGAGGAGGCCCGAAGCCCGAACCGCCGAAGCCGCCCACGUCCACCUCUGCUCCGCCUUCUUCAUCCUCCUCGGUCUCCGCCACCACGGCGGGACCCACCGGUAGCCAGGCGGGAGCGCCUCCAUCCUCUGCGCUUCCCUCGGGGCAGCAGCCACAGCAGCAGCCGCCAGUUUCGGCUCCUUCCUCGUCUCCUUCCGGUGCACAGCCGCAAUCCAAGCCCAGCCCGAGCCCCACACCGGCCGGCGGCCCUAAGAAAGGACAAGGACAGUCUCCCGGCGGCGGCCCCAAGGGGCCGGGCGGCCCGCAGCAGGGGCCGCACAAGGGCGGCCCGGGGCACCGCGGCGGGCCGGGCGGGGAGCCGCGGGGCCGCGGGCAGCAGCACCAGGGCCAGCAGAGCCUCGGGACACAGCAGGGCUCGGGAGAUAGGAGCGAGAAGCUGUCGGACGAGGGGUUUAAAGCGAACCUCUCUCUGCUGAGGCGGCCCGGGGAGAAGACGUACACACAGCGCUGCCGGUUGUUUGUUGGGAACUUGCCUGCUGAUAUUACAGAUGAAGACUUUAAAAGACUAUUUGCCAAAUACGGGGAGCCGGGAGAGGUUUUUAUCAACAAAGGGAAAGGCUUUGGAUUCAUUAAAUUGGAAUCUAGAGCUCUUGCAGAAAUCGCAAAGGCAGAGUUGGACGAUACCCCCAUGAGGGGCCGGCAGCUCCGAGUUCGCUUUGCCACUCACGCCGCUGCCCUGUCGGUGCGGAACCUCUCACCCUACGUGUCCAACGAGUUGCUCGAGGAGGCUUUUUCCCAGUUUGGUCCGGUGGAAAGAGCUGUUGUGAUUGUAGAUGAUCGAGGUAGAUCAACAGGAAAAGGCAUUGUUGAGUUUGCAUCAAAGCCAGCUGCAAGGAAAGCAUUUGAACGGUGUACUGAGGGGGUGUUUUUGUUGACAACCACUCCCAGGCCAGUUAUUGUGGAACCGUUGGAACAACUGGAUGAUGAAGAUGGUCUUCCAGAAAAGCUUGCUCAGAAGAAUCCGAUGUAUCAAAAGGAAAGAGAGACUCCUCCCCGUUUUGCUCAGCCUGGCAGUUUUGAAUUUGAAUAUUCUCAAAGAUGGAAAUCUUUAGAUGAAAUGGAAAAGCAGCAGAGAGAGCAAGUGGCAAAAAAUAUGAAAGAUGCCAAGGACAAACUUGAAAGUGAGAUGGAAGAUGCUUAUCAUGAGCAUCAGGCAAACCUCCUGCGUCAAGACCUCAUGAGGCGCCAAGAGGAGCUGAGGCGUAUGGAAGAACUUCAUAAUCAGGAAAUGCAGAAACGCAAGGAAAUUCAGCUGAGGCAGGAGGAGGAGCGUCGCCGGCGGGAGGAGGAGAUGAUGAUCCGUCAGCGGGAGAUGGAAGAGCAGAUGAGAAGACAGAGGGAAGAGAAUUAUAGUAGAAUGGGUUACAUGGAUCCAAGAGAGCGAGACAUGAGAAUGGGUGGUGCUGCCACAAUGAACAUGGGAGAUCCUUAUGCUUCAGCAGCCCAGAAAUUUCCACCUCUGGGAGGUGGUGGCGGCAUAGGUUAUGAAGCUAAUCCAGGAGUUGGCCAAGCAGCCAUGAGUGGUUCUAUGAUGGGAAGUGACAUGCGUCCUGAACGCUUUGGGCAGGGAGGUGCGGGGCCCGUGGGUGGCCAGGGUCCUAGAGGAAUGGGGCCUGGAACACCAGCAGGAUAUGGUAGAGGGAGAGAAGAAUAUGAAGCCCCAAACAAAAAGCCCCGAUUUUAGAUGUGACCUGUAGUUUCAUUCCAGUUUGUUUUUGUCUGUCUUGUUUAGACACCGACUUCUUAAUUCUUGCAUUUUAGUAAGAAAGCUACGUUUUUAUGGAUGUUAGAAACUUACUGACCUAAUAUUUGUAAGUGGUCUGUUUGGGCGAGUACAAUUUAAUUAUGUAAUGCAGUGUUUCAAAAUCAAAUUUAGCUGUUUUUUUGAUGUAUAACGUCCCUAACUUGAUGGCAGUGUACCUUGUGCCACUGAAUUCCCAAAGUGUACCAACCUUUUUUUUACUGUGCUUAAAAUAAAUAGAAAACUAAAUGUAGUAACUCUUCUUGCCAGUCGUGGUUAAACAAAUGAGGCCAAAUGCCACACCUGCCACAGUAACCUGAGAGCCUCGAGCUGAGGUCGGACCUAGACCAGGGUGUGGAACUACAGUGAAGAGUGAGAUCUCUUCCCACAGUGCCUCUCUAGCCAAAGAUUGGGUUAAAUUGUAGCCGAACUUUGCAGUAGGUGCAGAUUUUUUCAGCAGUAAUUGUGCUGCAACAAGGAAGCAAAUGGAAAUCUUACAAAUGCUGUGAGAUACAUUAUUUAACGCUUCACUGCAAGCAGUGCAGUAAUGAAUUCCAUAUUUUAGCUAUGGGUGGUGGGAUGGUAGCACUUACCACCCUGGCAGUUACUGCUUGGAAUCUUUCAAAGACUUUAAGCAGAAGACUAGCAAUGGUUAUUUUAAAAUAAAUUCCUAGAAUGCCUUGUAUUGGCUGACUUCCUCACUAAAGGAUUGUUAAUGUGAUAUUUAUAUGCUCUUAAGCUGUCUUGAGAUUACAGGAUCUGGCCUUGCUCCAUAUUGUACACCUGCCUGAAAUUGCUUGGCAAAAAGACCAGAAGUGUUACUCGAGUGAUUAAGGUUAAUUUGCUUAUGUCCUCAUGCUAACAGUGGACUAAUUUGCCUAGUUCAGAAUACAAUCAUUUGUAUUAUGGGGACUGCAGGAACUAUUCUUAAAUUGUGUAGCUGGUGUGCAAAUCCUAAAAUCCUGUAUGUAAAAUACAGCAAUCAGCUUGCUUGCAUGAUGGUUAUCGCUUUUUUAUUAUUGAUGUUUGGAGAUAAUGCUUCAAAAGUAGUAUCUGAAUCUGGAGUUUUAAGAGUUACUACUACACAGUGCAAAUAAACUCCCUUUAAGGUUCUUUUUGUAGAAGAUCUGAUGAAUUCGUUAGUUUGCUGUUCAUUUUAUUAAGCCCCAGAAGAAUUUCAAAGCAUUCUGGACUCAUUGGUAAGGUAGUUGCUUUGCUUGUUAUUACAAUGUACCAGGUAAACUGGGAACGUGACUUCCCAGUGUCAAAUACCUCAGUGUUAAUGCAGGAUACAUCAACCUGCUUGGCACAAAGUAGGUAAACUUAGCUUGGCUGUAGCUUCACAUGAUUCCCAGCCACUGGAGUUCUGUGAAUAGCUUUAAUCUUCCCAAUAACCUUCCAUUCCUUGUGCUGAGCAUUGGCUAAUUCUAAAUUUUCUGCUAAAUUUUCCCUGUGGUUAAAACAUAAAGUGUCAGAUUGCAGGGUUUUAGGGUACAGAUGUCUGAUCCCUCUUGAAGUACUGUUACCCCUUAAAUGACAGAAUAGCAAGUUGGGAAAUGCUGAUCCAGGUAACACUGAUGUGGAACACGAAGCUCACUGAAGAGUGAUUCAGCUUGUUUGGUGAAUGCUUUCUGUUUACCCAGAAACGUUUGGGGGUUGGUAACAUGCUACAACAAUGAAUUGCUCUUGAGGAGGAAAUUCCAAAUUGGCAGUUCCUAAACUGCAGACCAAGUAUUUGGGAGUUGUAUUGGAUAGUUUACAAAUGAGCAGUAUCGAUGCAAUUUGCAUUAUUGAAGCGGUUUUAAACAAUAUCUUUUCUGGAGGGUGUUCAUGGGACACCCUCAAAAGGUGAAGGUGUCUGAGGUGGGGAAUUCUGAACAUGAACAUUAAAUUAAUUUUUUCAGUUUAUUUUUCAGAUUACAUGUCAUUCUUUAUUAAAAGAGAUGCUGGUGCAUAUCCUAAAGUAUGUUCUUUUAUAGUUCUGUAACUUGGAAGAGUGAAGGAUGCUGCUGUCUUUGUACCUUACAGAGCUUUUCUUUGGGUACCCCUGUUUUGUAUGUAAGCUACUGUUGCUAGGUAUUAAAAUAGCUGAGCUGCAAAACCAUGAUUAGUAAAUAUAUUUGAAAGAUUUGGCAGUUUUCAAAAGAUCUGAAAGUUUGGUUAAAUCUGGCUUUGUUGUAGCUGCAGAAGCAGAAUUUCUAAAACAAGUUCUGCUUUGAGUUGCAUGUACUAAACAGGCAUAUGAUGAACUAGCCAACUUCUUUUCAAGACCUUUUAAAGAUGGUGUCUUAAAAGCUGGCAAACAUGUCAACUUUAAAAUCUGAUAAAAGUUAUUAAAUGUGGGAGGUGAGAAAGUGACAUUCCUGUGAUCUAUUCCUAUGAGGUUUUGGACUUCUUUCAUAAACUCAGAUUUAUAUAAUUGAAUCUUCUAAAAUCAUUCAGAAAAGUGCUUUGCUGGUCAGACCUGUUUUUGGAUGGUCUGGAUCACGUAACAUUUUUGUACUGGACUUGGAGGACAUUGGCUGUUGCAAUUUAGCUUGUUUUAUCAAAAUUGAGCCCAUUUUGACACUCAGAGCUCUAAAAACUGCAGCAAGUAGAAACUGGUAUCGUUACACAUAUGUCUUCACACUUUCUCAGAAAUGAAUACAGAAUAAUCUUACCUUCUGGCAUAGAUACACUAAUCAUUUAUACAGCUGAUGGGAAAUUGAAAAUGCUUUUGAGAUUUUGUGGUAUUUUUGUGGUAGACAAAUUCUUGGCUUCUCCUUGGCAACCAUUUACUGUGGCAGCAAGUUCUUGCUGGAGUUUGAGACUGCAAUUUACACUUUAAACUAGUGGCCUGCUACAUAACUGCACUUAGCCAGCAUUUCUGCAGUUCAUAACUGUGAGGAACGUAGUACCACAAAUGGCAAUGGACAUUAGGACCCGGAUGUAGUAUUCCUGCUUGCUCCAAGAUUCUCAUUGCCGACUGCGUCCAGGUAGGUAACAAGCAAUAUCAUAUAACUUGGUGACUUUCUAUGUAAUCUUAUACUGUGGGUAUUCUGACAUCACACUUCUGACUGUGGAAUUACAGUGCAGCACUCCAUACCUGUAUGCUGAGCUUGCAUCAAAGCUGUGUGGUUUUUGGUUUGAAGCUUUUGUCUCAUUCAGAGACAACAAGUAACUUACUGUGGUUCUUAGAUGAGGAUUUCCAGACCCGAUUCCUCUGUACUUACAACUUGGCUUGGGUGGAUUUUUCUUAGUUCCGAUGUAACGAAGAUAUUCUUAAAUGAGCACUGUGGGGAAGAGGGAAUGUGAUCUUAAACUCAGCUGAGUAGUUGACAAGGUGCUCUCAGUGCCUGGAAAAGAACACGUUUAAACUUUCUGUAGUGAUGAAGUGGCCCAUCUGCAGCUCAUCCAUGUGUAGAGUCUUGGCUUGGUGGGAAUGUGUUAGUAACCACUGCUCUUGCCUCGUGUGUGCUAUGUGAGAAUCACCUCAAGCUACUGGUGCAAGCAGUUCUGAGACUGAUCCAGAAUAUUUUUGAGGACAUAAAUGAGUGCUUGAUUGAAUAUCCCUGUGAGUUUCAUAGAGCUUAUUGGACAUUGCAGUAGUCUUUAUUUUAAACUUGGAUUGACAAACCUGAUAUAUUCCUCUGCUUUAAUUGACAGUGAUGAGAUUCUGUACUUCUGCCUCGUAGAGUCAUCUUGAUAGUGUAAUGUACAAUUUCAUUUUUCAUCAGUCUUGGGAUGUAAUUCUAAACUCUUCAUUACUAGAACUCCUAACUGUAGUGUUCCAGGAUUAGCAUGCUUACGUUGCUAGACAUCCAGACAUGCUGAUCUCCAGCUCUUUUGCAUUAGCUCUUGAACCUGAAUUUCAAGGUCCCUUGUUCCAGCGAAUGAUCUGGCUCUUGUCUCAUACUCAGUUUAUUUAGCAAGUGCUGUGAUGUGUUUUCCCUUGUUCUGCAAAGUUCUGCUUUGCAUACUUGCUUCUGGUAUUAUUGUCACUUCUGGACCCUUCUUUGUUACCUUCCAGGCAGGACUCUUGCUGGUGAACCAGGGAUCUGCUGGACAACCUUGCCCUCUGCUGUAGCCACCUUUCCAUUGAACCCUUGAAGUAGCAGGUGCACCAUAAGUUAAUGACAACAGGUCUUUGGUUACACCACAGUGAGUGUAGCCCAUGCCAGCUGCUCACACAGUGACACCUUGUCACAAUGUCAGUUUGGCUUUUCAUGAUGGUUUACCUUUACCUGUGACUUGAAUCCAUUUGUGAUGGCUUAUCCUUACCUGGGACUGGGAUCCAGUAGCAAACCUGCUGGCAGCCGCUGUGCUGUCAGGUAGCAAAACUGAACUAGUGAUCUCAAACCAUUGCUCAAGAUCUGACUGAAGUUUUUCCAUUGUGCUCUGGAUACUUGACCUGCAGGAAUGUCAUGGAGGGGUUAUUGGCACAUCUGCCUCAUUCUGCAUACUUGAACUAAGCAGGUUUUUGACACUCUUGGAGCAAGCAAUUUGUGACUGAAACCAUGGGGCUCAAACCAGCUCUGGCUGCAGUAAUGAAACUUGGUUGUGGUAGCAAACUUAGUCAUGUCUGCUCUAAGUCAGUCUGUAACAAGUGGGUACAAGAAAUGACAUUCAAGUGCUUGCAUUGUGUUUCAUCUUGGUUUAAUCUGUGUGUGAAAUACACUUUUUCUCAAAAGCUUACCUGAAGCUCAGAAGUGUGGUGUCAGAAUACAUCUGCGUACUGCUAGGCCCUCCGAGCAGAGCCUGGUGCUGGCAGGAGAGCACAGCACAGCGUGGAUGGGGCUUUAUUGUAACAUUAAGCAUACAAAGUGUUGAUUUGCUUGCAGUUCUCCCCAUAGCUGAACACUGAGGCCUGUGAGUAGUUUUAGGACUGGAGCAGUAAUGGGGUUGCAUGUCUCUGUUAAUCAUUGCCAGCUGCAGUGACAUGAUCAGGAAGGCCAGUGUUCUGUUCCAUUAUGUUCAGUGAGGCUGAGCAUGUUGGGAAGGAUGCAUCCAAGUAUGCUGCUCUGGGGAAUCACUUGGCUUCUUCCACUACCAGCAAGUUUUGCAAUCAGCUAAUUAGCUUCAGAUUUUUUUUCACUCUCCAUACCAGCUAGUGGGGCUGUUAAAUAGCUGCUGCCUGGAAAAGGAAAAAAGGGAGGAUUGGCCUUCUCCCACCUGUGUCAUUGCUGCUAGGUAAUGAUUGACACAUUAGGACUUGGCUGUGCAAUCCCGCAGUGGUCUGUGAACACCCCAUCUCUAUAAAUGUUGUUUCUGAACACCAGUACUGAGGAGCUAACUGGGGAGGGCUGGGAGGAGUGUGGCUAGCAGGGAAUCUGCAGUGUUCAAAGGAUGCACAAAGAUAUAGUAUCCCUUAUGCAUGGUGUUUGUUGCUAUGGCAGAGAAAACAAAACGUGCAUAACUCUCCUGUUCCCAAGGGCUGUGAGGAAACCCAGGUGGGUGGUGGGUUGGAGACUAAAGCCUGAAGUUGUCCCUGCCUGGUCAGAUCAUGCUGUGCCCAUGGUGAGAUCUGCCUCCCAACUGGAGCUGUGCAGAGCCUUGCAUCACAUCCCCAGCUCUCCAUUGCAGGCUGCCCUCAGCUGUAGUAAAGGGAGGCCUUGAGGAGGGAAGAACCUUGCUGAGGAUAAAAGCAGUGACAGUGCCAACCUCUAGUGUCUGCCUUUGGCUUCUGAAGCACUUGUUCGACUGUGGAACAUGAGGUCUCCAAGAGGCCAGGACCACUGCACUCCCUCAGGAAGGGGAAGAGAGAGGGCAUUGCUGCAGGAGACAAAUAGGGUCAUAGAGUUGGAGUAGCUGAUGAAAUUAAAGCCUUCACAUAAGGGAUAGUAUACCUCUGGCUGCAAUCAGACCUCACUGUGCUCAGACUGGGGUUACGGUUUGUGCUCAGGGUGCAGUUCUUCAGGCAACUGCCUGCAUAUUCCUUCAGCUCUUGAUGAGUGUUUAGGCUAGCCUAUUUCUGCCCCUUAUUCUUCCACAUAAUAGUUUGGAAUAAUUGAUAAGUUCCCCCUCAUAACUAAUCAAUCCAUAUAUGUUAAAACCUUAUUUUUAAGUUAGUUUUGAAAUGGUCACAAUUUGCUGUGUAUGACUCUAAUAACUUCAGUUGUUAUCCUUUAGGUGAAGAUGAAAGCUGAGUGACACCGGAGUGCUCAUCCAUUGGAAUUGAGGAGUUGAACAUGAGCACAUCCAGCACGGUGCCCAGUGGUGUGUGGAGGGACCAAGGGAACAGGUGGACAAAAAAAGAAGUCUGAGUGCAAUGAAGAGGAACCAGGAACAUACAGCUUUUAAAAAUAAAAUAUUUAAAUAUUUUUAUAAA